UCGAAAAAGUCCGUUAGCAUCUCAAUCGUUUUCAGAAGAGGCUAUCAGCUAAGUUAGCUAAGAUCAUGUUGAUGUCCUAAGUUACUGCACCCCCUGUCCAAGACAAUCUCCACGGCUAUGAACUCGACUAGUGUGUUUUGAAAUAAGUUGGCCAAUGAGACAUCGUACUGUCCAACUCAAAGUAGAGCCCUGCGCAGGACUAUUUUCCUCACCCCGCCGAAUCUCUGACCAUUACCGCUCCCGCAACGGAUGUUACACUCCCGUGGGACCCGGCGGUACUCAAUCCCAAUGCAGCCCUCUACCAAGCACAAAGCUAACUUUUGUAAAUUGCACAAAGCACAACAGGAGGGAUCAUGAAAUUUGAUUCUGCAGCCACAGAGAAGUAAAUCAAGAUGCAUGUUUCUGAGCACCUCAAGCACGCGCCACAAAGAUUGGAGGUAGAUUC